CUCCCAGGCGUCGAGCGGCGGACGGGUGAGUAACACUUAGGAAUCUACCUAGUAGUGGGGGAUAGCUCGGGGAAACUCGAAUUAAUACCGCAUACGUCCUACGGGAGAAAGGGGGCAGUUUACUGCUCUCGCUAUUAGAUGAGCCUAAGUCGGAUUAGCUAGAUGGUGGGGUAAAGGCCUACCAUGGCGACGAUCUGUAGCUGGUCUGAGAGGAUGAUCAGCCACACCGGGACUGAGACACGGCCCGGACUCCUACGGGAGGCAGCAGUGGGGAAUAUUGGACAAUGGGGGAAACCCUGAUCCAGCCAUGCCGCGUGUGUGAAGAAGGCCUUUUGGUUGUAAAGCACUUUAAGCAGUGAAGAAGACCUAACGGUUAAUACCCGUUAGCGAUGACAUUAGCUGCAGAAUAAGCACCGGCUAACUCUGUGCCAGCAGCCGCGGUAAUACAGAGGGUGCAAGCGUUAAUCGGAAUUACUGGGCGUAAAGCGAGCGUAGGUGGCUUGAUAAGUCAGAUGUGAAAUCCCCGGGCUUAACCUGGGAACUGCAUCUGAUACUGUUAAGCUAGAGUAGGUGAGAGGGAAGUAGAAUUCCAGGUGUAG
rnacentral:rRNA from 1 species